rnacentral:lncRNA from 1 species
ACAGACCUGCAGCUGCUUUAUAAGAGGCCCUCACCAGCCACUUUGGGGCCAGUCUAAGAUGUACCCUCCAGUUUCCUGACCCUGUGGAACACAGCCUCAGUUGGUAUUCCUGUAGUGGAGGUUCCAAAUGCCCCGUAAAUCUGCUCAGGAUCUCACCCUGAGCAGUGUGGAGAGAGUGGACUUUCCAAAAGGAAGAGCACUAAACAGAAAGCUUUGUUCCUGUCCCUGUGGCUUGUGUGGCCUUCUUUCUUCACUGCCACUUUAGCAGGCUCUUCAAGUGCAAGGGCAAAAGGCCAUGCAGUCCGUCACGAUUAUUCGGAAGCCUCGCAUCUGAGUCACAUUGCCCAGGGCUCUCUGCUGGAAAAUGGAUCAUGAAGGCGAAGGGCAGAAGCCAGGAGGCCACCAGCAUUGCAGGGGCGAGGGACCAGGUGACUGGAUGCAUGGAGUGGGGACAGAGAGGGUGGUGGAUCAUCUGGGACAGCUUU